rnacentral:rRNA from 1 species
UACGUAGGGCGCAAGCGUUGUCCGGAAUUAUUGGGCGUAAAGAGCUCGUAGGCGGUCUGUUGCGUCCGCUGUGAAAGCUCGGGGCUUAACCCCGAGCCUGCAGUGGAUACGGGCAGACUAGAGGUAGGUAGGGGAGAAUGGAAUUCCCGGUGUAGCGGUGAAAUGCGCAGAUAUCGGGAGGAACACCGGUGGCGAAGGCGGUUCUCUGGGCCUUACCUGACGCUGAGGAGCGAAAGCGUGGGGAGCGAACAGG